CGGUGGUCAUAGUAUUGGGGAAACGCCCGGCAACAUUCCGAACCCGGAAGCUAAGCCCAACAACGCCGAUGGUACUGCACCCGACAGGGUGUGGGAGAGUAGGAAACCGCCGCAACC
rnacentral:rRNA from 2 species